GAAGUGCGACAAGUGUCAUGACUUGCAGAUUCCCGAGAGCUGACAAAUUUCUGAAUGCAAAUGGCGGCCGCUAAUCCCGGCCAUGUAUUGCAGAGUGUAGUUGUUCCUACCCAUCAUCCCUCAACAAUCCAUUGUCUGGUUGUUGCAUCGGGGACCUGCGCUUGCGACGACUGCGCGAGCGUGAAAAAGAGGAGCGUUGAGUCGACUUGCUCGACUCGACGACUUCGGAAGACCAAACUUCCAGGAGUUGAUGCUCCCAUCUAACUUUCGACAGCCACCUCUGCGAUGCAGGAGAACCCGCUGAACUUAA
rnacentral:misc_RNA from 1 species